rnacentral:rRNA from 1 species
GACAGGCAAUAUAUUAGCAUAAAGACUCGUCUUUAGCGCUAAUUGUUAAAUAUGCUAGUCCUUUCAUGAUUAUGUGAUAGGUGGUGCAUGGCCGUUCUUAGUUCGUGGAGUGAUCUGUCUGCUUAAUUGCGUUUCACUAAGGGCCCAUAAAUUCAAGGUAUGUUAGCAAAUGCUGCUCUAUUGACCCCUAAUAGGCUUAACUGUCUUUAGCGCGUGUCUCUACGAGUUCUUUAAAGCACUGCGCAUGCUGUUGGGUCCUGAAAGCAACGAACGUGACCGCAACGUCUUGUUGCCUCUCUAUAAUAUCUUCUUAUUUUUAAUAAGAGUAUUUACCUGAGGCUAUUUUAAAACUAGACGGACCGCUGUUUCUUUCUUAAACCAGAGGAAGGUUGCGGCAAUAACAGGUCUGUGAUGCCCUUAGAUGUUCCG